UAAGGAAUAUUGGUCAAUGGACGCAAGUCUGAACCAGCCAUGCCGCGUGAAGGAAGACGGCCCUACGGGUUGUAAACUUCUUUUGUACAGGAAAAAACCACCGGUCGUGAACCGGUGCUGAUGGUACUGUAAGAAUAAGGAUCGGCUAACUCCGUGCCAGCAGCCGCGGUAAUACGGAGGAUCCAAGCGUUAUCCGGAUUCAUUGGGUUUAAAGGGUGCGCAGGCGGAAUGAUAAGUCAGUGGUGAAAUCUCUCGGCUCAACUGAGAAACUGCCAUUGAUACUGUCGUUCUUGAGUACACUUGGAGUGGGCGGAAUGUGUCAUGUAGCGGUGAAAUGCUUAGAUAUGACACAGAACACCGAUCGCGAAGGCAGCUCACUAAGUUGUAACUGACGCUCAGGCACGAAAGCGUGGGGAUCAAACAGG
rnacentral:rRNA from 1 species